UGUAGCCAAGGCCAAGUGAGCCCUCGUUUCACCAUUCUGCGGUCUCGCUCCGAUGGCUGCCCCAGCAAGCUCCGCAGCUUGUGGACUCUCAGUCCUCUGCCUGGGACCUGGCCAUAAAUUUGGCUAUAGACACUG
ensembl:snoRNA